GCGGCCGAUAUCGGAUUAGCUAGUUGGUGAGGUAAAGGCUCACCAAGGCGACGAUCCGUAGCGGGUCUGAGAGGACGACCCGCCACACUGGAACUGAGACACGGUCCAGACUCCUACGGGAGGCAGCAGUGGGGAAUUUUGGACAAUGGGGGCAACCCUGAUCCAGCCAUUCCGCGUGAGUGAAGAAGGCCUUCGGGUUGUAAAGCUCUUUCAGCAGGAACGAAACGGUGGUCCUUAAUACGGGCUACUAAUGACGGUACCUGAAGAAGAAGCACCGGCUAACUACGUGCCAGCAGCCGCGGUAAUACGUAGGGUGCGAGCGUUAAUCGGAAUUACUGGGCGUAAAGCGUGCGCAGGCGGUUCUAUAAGACAGAUGUGAAAUCCCCGGGCUUAACCUGGGAACUGCGUUUGUGACUGUAGGACUUGAGCGUGGCAGAGGGGGGUGGAAUUCCACGUGUAGCAGUGAAAUGCGUAGAGAUGUGGAGGAACACCGAUGGCGAAGGCAGCCCC
rnacentral:rRNA from 1 species